rnacentral:lncRNA from 1 species
UAUUUAACAAAGAAUUGUCAUUGGUUGUAUUUAUAUGGAAUAACAGAGGCCAUCGGUGACAGCUGACACCCUGUUCUACGAGUCAGUCCAGCAGACCCUUCAGUUGAGGACUGGCAAGAUGUCUGACAUCCCGGUAGGUUAAACAACAACACCCACUCUGCACCACUAGAGGGAAACACCAUGUUCCACUUGUAAUAAUCAGGUCAUGCCAUUAGAAUUCCUCAAGAUUGGAUUCCCAUCUUCUUUUGAAAGAUCAAAGGUAACAAUAUGUACCUACACUUUAAUGACACUGCACCUACCAUGUAAAUACAUCAGGGGUAGUUACAACCCCAUCAUUCGGACACAUUUUAAACCCAGGUUUGGGUUCUCUCUAUUGAAGUGACAUCAACCCUUCUUCAGUCCUCUCAUAGGAAUCCCCCUAUUUUCUCUGUGUUUGAUAGGAGGAGCCAGAGGAGGUGUAUGAGAGGGCCCAUCCCUCCAUCGUACCCCUGAAGGAUGCUCCACCCUGCACAGAGGCAGACAGCAUCCUCAACUAUAUCACUGUGCAUUACUCCAGGAUCCCAAGUCUGGACCAGAUUCAAGUUACAAAUGUACCACUGGAUGGCGAUAAAGAGCCAAAGGAUGCUGCCAAUGUUGUUUACACUGUCCUGGCCAGACCACACCAGUAGUAGUGCAGGUAAAGACAUCUUUUGAUGUCACUAAUUUAUCUCUGCUAAUAUAUGAACAUCAAGAGUUAUAUACAACUCACAAUCUAAUGAAAUAAUUUGCAACAAGUUCAAGUUUGACCAUAGAGACAAACAUAUUCUAAAUGUGAAUUCAGUGACACACCUCCAUUAACGUUGUUGUUGUUUUUUUCUCGCAUAUCUCCCAGAUGAGAACUGUAGCUCCAAAUGAGUGACAUCGCCAGAAGGAUCUCUACCAUCGACCCCUGAACUGCUUCUGAGCUGGACUGCUCACUCUAAGCCAAUUUACUGUUUAUCUAAUUUACUACAAAGUCUAAUUUACUAGGAAUAGUUAAAGUAGUUACUUGUAAUUCAUUUGGCAUUAUAAGUGGCAUUAUAACUCAUUUAUUAGCAUUUAACGUUUUACUAGUAGUGGCCAGAUAAUGAAAUAUUCCGAUAUCAGAAUCAUCCUUAAAAUGUAUCUUUUUCACCCUCAGAAGGAAGUCAUUUUGGACAUUUUCUCUCUGGGUUCUCUCUAUCUCCUCCAUAAGAUAUCAUUAAAAUGUAACAUACUUUAAAAAUGAAGUUUGGUAUGCAUCAUCACUCAUGCUAGUCUUAUGGAGAAUGUGUGUAAAUGUGUUACUGAUCAUAUCUUAUGUUUAGGGUAUGGUUGGUAUGUCCCAAAUUGCUUGUUGAAAUAGAUUUUUGUCAAAUAAACAUUUUUAAAUGAAGAAAUAAUUGCU